UUUGUUUUGUUUUUUGUUUC
rnacentral:miRNA from 1 species